rnacentral:rRNA from 1 species
UACGAAGGGGGCUAGCGUUGCUCGGAAUCACUGGGCGUAAAGGGUGCGUAGGCGGGUUCUUAAGUCAGAGGUGAAAUCCUGGAGCUCAACUCCAGAACUGCCUUUGAUACUGAGAGUCUUGAGUUCGGGAGAGGUGAGUGGAACUGCGAGUGUAGAGGUGAAAUUCGUAGAUAUUCGCAAGAACACCAGUGGCGAAGGCGGCUCACUGGCCCGAUACUGACGCUGAGGCACGAAAGCGUGGGUAGCAAACGGG